rnacentral:misc_RNA from 1 species
GAUGAAGAACGCAGCGAAAUGCGAUACGUAAUGUGAAUUGCAGAAUUCAGUGAAUCAUCGAGUCUUUGAACGCACAUUGCGCCCCCUGGUAUUCCGGGGGGCAUGCCUGUCGAGCGUCAUUGCUGCCCUCAAGCACGGCUUGUGUGUUGGGCCUCCGUCCUCCUCCCGGGGGACGGGCCCGAAAGGCAGCGGCGGCACCGCGUCCGGUCCUCGAGCGUAUGGGGCUUCGUCACCCGCUCUUGUAGGCCCGGCCGGCGCUUGCCGACACAUCAAUCUUUUUUCCAGGUUGACCUCGGAUCAGGUAGGGAUACCCGCUGAACUUAAGCAUAUCAAUAAGCGGAGGA